UAAUGUCUGGGAAACUGCCUGAUGAGGGGGAUAACUACUGGAAACGGUAGCUAAUACCGCAUAAUGUCGCAAGACCAAAGUGGGGGACCUUCGGGCCUCAUGCCAUCAGAUGUGCCCAGAUGGGAUUAGCUAGUAGGUGGGGUAACGGCUCACCUAGGCGACGAUCCCUAGCUGGUCUGAGAGGAUGACCAGCCACACUGGAACUGAGACACGGUCCAG
rnacentral:rRNA from 1 species